rnacentral:rRNA from 1 species
UACGUAGGGUGCAAGCGUUGUCCGGAAUUAUUGGGCGUAAAGAGCGUGUAGGCGGCCAGGUAGGUCCGUUGUGAAAACUAGAGGCUCAACCUCUAGACGUCGAUGGAAACCAUCUGGCUAGAGUCCGGAAGAGGAGAGUGGAAUUCCUGGUGUAGCGGUGAAAUGCGCAGAUAUCAGGAAGAACACCAAUGGCGAAAGCAGCUCUCUGGGACGGUACUGACGCUGAGACGCGAAAGCGUGGGGAGCGAACAGG